UGGGCUCAAUGGGUGUCCUGGGGGUGGGGGCAGAGUUAAGUAGAAAUCAUGUCAACACAGUCCCUGUGCCUGGAAAUGUUGGCCUCUUCUCUGAUUUUGUGACCCCAGAACUGAUUCCUUGGGAGGCCGAGAACUUAACCAGACUCUUAACCAAGUAGACAGAGGAAAGAUGCCAGUGCUUUGGAGCUUCAGGGUUCAGAGUUCGAUCUAGGCUCUGCCACUUACUAGCUGUGUGACGCUGGGUUAGGUGCUUUCCCUGUCUGUGCCUCAGUUCCCUCAAAGUCUGUUGAGGACCAAGCACCUGCCUUAGGGUGAUGAUGAGAUUUUAAAGGCAAAAGCAGGUGAAACGUCCUCAGGUUAUGUGUGUGGCUCUUGCCGAUAUUGUUACUGAUGCUCCCAUAGUCCUUUGUGUUGGUUCUGAACAGGCAUCUGGCUAUGGAUAUACGUAUCAGGCAGUCUCUUUGCCAGAGUUCAUUGUGUGCACCAUGCCUCGGCUAGAACAGGGCAUGGCAUGUAGUAGGUGCUCAGUUAGUAUUGGAACAAAGUAUAGGGGACUAGCUCGUGGCUCGACUGGCUCGGCUGGAUUCCAGGCUCAGCCUUUUUCUAGCUGUGUGACCCUUCUUUUAGCUGUGAACUCUAGCUGAGUUCCUCAGCUUCUCUUGUUGCUAAAUCAGGGAUAACCAAAACCCUAGCUUCUACGGUUGUUGUAUUAAAUGAGAUGAUGCAUGCAAAGAGCCGUCCUGGUAGAUGGGAGCUGUUUUUGUUAUCGAGAAGGGCAAUGAGCAGGGGUCUGGUUAAUCACGCAAGACAGCAAGGGUCUGUGUACGGCGUUACCCUGGGCAGGUGCCUGUGAGGUGAGAGGCUGGCGCCAAGGAGGAUUUGGAGAGGGCAUUCCAGGUAGGGGCACUGGUAGCAGGAAUAUUAGGGGUUAAAUUGGUGGGCCGAGAAAAGUGGGCUGAGACAGUGAGUCUGACUGGAGGGACUGCCUGGGGGCUGCUGGGACUUGGGGCUGCAGAGUGGGGCGGGGGCCAGUAGCUAUGCAACGGGGUUUGGAUUUUAUCCUGUGGGCAGGAGGGAGCCAUUGAAGGUUAUUGGACAGGGGAGUGACAGGACUGGAGAGGCACUUUAUGGAGAUGACACUGGCAGCGUGUGCACAGGAUUGGAGACUGGAGACAGGCAGGGGGAGGCUGCUGCCACCUGGGAGGCGAGGGCAGUGGAGGGGACUAGAGAGGGGACAGGUUCAAGCCAACUUGAGGAGGGAGCUCUGAGGGCCGAGGGGGGGUGGGCAAAGGGAGAGUCAGAGGGGCCUGGGGCUUGGAGCUGGGGUGACUGGAACCCCCAUGUUCUGAGCACUCUGGGCUGGACACAGCAAGGGUGAGCCACUUGGCUGGGUCCUGGCCAGGUCCAGCUUCGUGGGCAAGUUAACCGGGCCCUCCACUUAGGAGGGCUUUGCACUUGGUUUAAUGCUCUGCUGUCGCCCUCGUGAAAUUCUUAAUAUGUUUUGAACAAGUGCCCUGUGUUUUCGUUUUGCGCUGGGCUCUGCAAAUUAUGUAGCUAGUCCCAGUCCGCAAGUCUCAGGCUCUGGGCUCUUGGAAUUGAGGCCUGGGAGGGCUCAAGCUAGAACCAGGCCUACGGGAAUUAAGGAGACCUCCCUCUCUACCGUUGGCCCGAGGCUUGUUCUCAGAUGGCUUCUUCCUGCUGGCUCUCAGCUUGGCCUUCAAAGCCUUCCUCAGUCAGGCCCUGCCUCUUCUCUCAUUCUCUGACCUCAGCCACCAGCUCACCUGCUGUUCCCACACAUCUCAGACACUUGUCCACAUCUAGGUCUUACUCAAGCUGUACUGGUUGUUGCAGGAUGUGUCCCUGGCCUCUGUCGUCCUAUCUUCUUCUGGAGAAGUCCUCUGAAGGCCUGGCACAGGAGUCACCAGUGUCACAGAGUCUCCCUGGCUCUCUCCAUCCCACCCCACUCCCCUUGGAGGGGAGCUUGGGUCUGUCUUGCAGUGCUUGUUAAACAUGCAGAUUCCUACUCCAGCUCUCAGGGUGAAGCCUAUGUAUCUGCAUUCCCAGCUGGUCCCUGGGGUUGCCUGUGCACACUGGGGUCUGAGAACCUCUGCCCCAGGUACCCCCAAGCCUGGCACAGGGCCUGGUACUGGAGAGGUGCUCCGUGUCUGUCUACCAAGUGAGUGAAUGAGCUGUGGUUGUCUGUCAUCUCGAUGCGUGCAGCCUCCCUGCGGCCCGGCCUGCUGCCUGGUGUGGAGUGGCAUCAGUGGGUGACUCUAAAUGGUGGUGGGAUGGCAGCCAGUGUGGAUCUGGAGGAGGAUUGGGAGGACACCUGACCAUCCUAGGAACUCUGGCCGGGCCAGGGUUCUUCCCCUCCCCCUGAAACCCCAGGCUGUGGGUUGUGCCCUCUAGGAGACAGGAAGUAGGCAGAGCCCUUCCCCUCCCCCUCUUCCUAGAGGGCGGUCUGCUCCCAGUGUGGUCCUCUUUGCACACAAUCGUAACAGCAUGAUAGAGGUGAAGGGCUUUAGGUUUUAUUUCUUUACACUGCAUAGGCACUGAGUUAAGGACUUGAAUGAUUUCAUUAAACCCAUACAGGUCUAUGAGGCAGGGUCUGUUAUUAUUCCCAUUUCAGAGAUGUGGAAACUGAGGCACAGAAAGGGGAAGCCAGCUGUCCAAAGCCACACAGCUUAGCUCAGUCUCUCCACCGUUUGGCCUCUGAGACGUCCGAUCCCCCUGUGGCUCCUGUUUGUGAUAUCCCAGGAAAGCAAAUGCUCCGUGAGUGUCUGGGGAAGAGAAGGAGAGUAGAAGGAAGCCAGCCCACCCCCCAUCCAACCGGAGGGACCCCUGCUCCAGGCAGGGCUGGGCUGGCACCAUGAACCCAAGGUGAGCCGGACCAUCACAGCCCGGUGUGCCUGGGGUCGGGGAGCGCAGGGGAGCUCAGGGGAGGAGCAGCUGACUCUGGCAGGUGGGCUGUGAGGGGGCAUCCAGAAAGCUCCGUGGUGGACCACAAGACCAGGAAAGCCUCCUUGCCCAGUGGUGACCAGACUCUGUCAAGAGGCCUGGAUGGUCCAGUCUCCACAGAUGGCAUUCCAGAAUCAAAAGUGGAGCCCCUUCCAUGCCAGGCCCGCGUGGGCACUGGGAAGGCCUGGGGAGCAAGACAGACGCAAGCCUUGUCCUUGGGGAGUUCAUGACCCAGGGGGCAGACAGCAUGGAGGAGACCCAGCCAGGCAGGCCCUGGGGAACUGAGUGGAGUGGGGUCCAACCAAGGGAAGACAAGUACAGAUGCCAGGAGCAGGCCUGGCACAUAGUAGGUGUUUAAGGACUGUUCCCAUGACAUUUUUCAGUUGUCCACCUGCUACAACAGCCCCUUUAAUUAGCGCUCCAGAGGGCCAAGCUCCAGGCCCUCCCUAAUGCCGUGACAGUGCUGUCUUGGAUGAGUCCUUUGACCUUUCUGAACCUCAGUUUCCUUACCUGUAAAAUGGGUGCAACUUUCCCUCCUCUCCAGGUCGUUGGAAAGAUUAACCAUAAGAGGACGUGAAGUGCUUAGCACAAAGCUCAUCACUCAAAAAAAAAUAGAGCAAAGAAAAAUGUUUCCUUACAGCUGUUGUUGUGGUCAUUUUAUUAAUAAGAAUUCUAACAAAACAAACCGCAGGAAGGCCAGUCUACCCCCUCUGAGCCCUCCAGAGACUGACUGAGCUCCUUUUCUCCCCUCCCUCCCACCUCCUCAGGGCCAGCCCCCAUCUCUGCUCCCACCCCCACCCCUGCACAGGGAACAGAGGUGACUCAACUGGUCCAGACCUUGCUGGAGCUCCAGCCUCACAGGGGACAGAGCCAGGGAAGGACAGGGAUGCUGAGGAUAAUCCUGUGAGUGGAGGGCUGUGGUGAGGGGAGGGUCCUUAGGGAUGGGGCACCUGGAGUAAUGCUACCUGGAGAGGUGGGAAAGCCUUUACUAAGCAGGGGACAUGUGGACAGAGCUGGGAGAGGCGGGAGGGGGGCUUUCCAGGCUCAGUGAAUAGUGAGGGCCAAGGCCUGGAGGCGUGGAAGGUGAAGCACAGAAUCCCCUCCCUCCCCUCCCCUUCCUGCCCUGUCCCUGGCUGUCCUCCCCUCUGAUUAGUGAGUGCAGUUUGGCUGAUUUGGUUUAAGGUCUAGCACCUGCUACAUGCAAGACUCUGGCUAAGCUUAUCACAUGUACCCUAGGAAGCCCAGUGACACACCUGAGAGGUAGGUGUGAUUAUCAUUCCCAUUUUACAGGUAAAGAGACUGAGGCCCAGAAGUGGUGGGCAACUUGCCCAAGACCACACGGCUGCAUCACAACCGGGUCUGACUCCAGCCUCUGGCCCUCCCCCAUCCCUUCCACUCCCCUUUCAGUCAACUGCUUGUCAUCCACUCGCUCAUUGCCCACGCCUGUCAUGUCACAUGCGGAACAGGCACGACCUCCUGGGGCUCAUACACAGACGAGGGUGUGUGGACUCUUGGGACUGGGGAGAUUGGGAGCAGGUACAGGCGGAGGUGGACACAAGAAGUUUUUGAAAACCCACUUGCAAUCAGAGGAGAUGCUGGGGCGAGGGCGCUCCAGCCUGAGGGGGCUGCUUGGGCAGAGAGGCUGGCAAGCCCCGACCAUACUAAUAAUUCUGUGCACAUUGCUGAUGACAUGACCCCAUCAAAACCUCGGAGGGGGCUUCCCUGGUGGCGCAGUGGUUGAGAGUCCACCUGCCGAUGCAGGGGACGUGGGUUUGUGCCCGGUCCGAGAAGAUCCCACAUGCCGUGGAGCGGCUGGGCCCGUGAGCCAUGGCCGCUGAGCCUGCGCGUCCGGAGCCUGUGCUCCGCGACGGGAGAGGCCACAACAGUGAGAGGCCCGCGUACCGCAAAAAACACAAAAACAAAACCAGCCUUGGAGGUUCAAAGGAAUAAGUGUGUGUUUCAGAGCCUGGUGGUCCUGAUCUUGGUCGCAUUCCUUUCUGCCGUUUAACUGCCGUUUCUUUACCUAUAAAUUGGGCAAUCCAAAAACCCAGAUCAGGAUUUUCAGCAAAUGAAGAAAUGGUAACUGCUAUUUUUAAAGUAAUAAUAAUAACAGUAAUAACAAUAAUAAUGACAAUAAAAGUCUCUGAAGUUACAGCUGAGGAAACUGGAGCUCAGAGAGUUUUAAGUGGCUGCCCUGAGGUCACCCAGCUGGGAAGUGGGUGGUUUGGACUCAGGCCUGGGGGCUGUACCUCUUGGUGUGGUGGGUUGCUGCCUCCCCCCGAAAGGAGGGGAGGAGAGCCCAAGGCCUGAUUUGAACCCAGGCAGUCUGAGCCAGCACCUGCCCUGUGGGCUGCCAGCCCUUCGGUGGUGGACAGUGGGAGGCAUUUCACUCCCUCGGCCCAGGAAUGGGUGGGGGGCAAGAGGAGCUUGGAAAGGCUCUGAUGGAGGAAGAGUGGGACGUGGUAGACCCUGGAGACAGGGCUUCUCUCCCAGACUAGGGGGUGUGGAGGAGGGCUUCCCGGAGGAAGAGCUGUCUGCACUGAGAGCAGAGGGAUUAUCCAGGUAAAGGGGGAGGGGAGCAGCUUUGGGCAGGGAGGACAGCAUGUGCCAGGGCCUGGAGGUGGGCCGUGCUGGGGGCACAGGGAGAGGUCAGGUCACAAAGGCUAUUAAAGGCCGUGCUAGGAGUCUGGCCUUUACUGGGGGGCCGCUGGAAGCCAUGCAAGGAUUCUAGGAGGGCAGUGUCAUGGUCAGAUUUGAAUGAGGAAAUUUACUCUGAUGGCUGCGUGGUUUGCAGGGGGAGCAGGGUGAGGCCCGAGAGGAAGUUGUGGACAUAGGGAGGGGGCCCUGUAAGGCCGUGUUCAGGUGUGCACACUGAAUGCAGAUGCUGUAAGCACAGAUGGCCACGGGCAUCUGCAUGGGUGUCAAGAGACCUGAGCUCCAUGAGGGGAACUCGGUGAAUAUGUGGUGACACGUGUCAGUAGGCACCAGGCAUCCACGUCUGUGUGUACAUGUACCUGGCAUUCAUCUGUGUGAGUCCGUCAGUGAUGGUGGUACGUCCCUGUGUGUUUUCAAGGCUAUUUGUGUAUGUGCACACAUGACAGCUUGUGAGGUGGCAGCUCUCUGUCCAACUGUGCUGCCUGAGAGAGCCCCAGACAGCCUUGGGCCAGCUGGUGGGACCGGCCCAGCCUGGGUAGAUACCACCUGGUCUUGACACCCCAUCCCUGGCCAGAGGCUGUCAGCUCCGCCUCCGCUUAGCUUUAGUGCCAUGUCAUCUAUCAAGGGGUUAUCGCUGCUGUAAAUCGUCCCGAGCAGUUUGAUCGCCACAGUACCUGCCUGGCUCCCUGCGGCUGAGCUGAUGGCAGGCGGGUGGCGGGCGGUGGGCGCAGCGCUCUGGCACAGGCAGCAUCUGGAGAGGCAAGCUCGGAGCCUCCUCGGGGACCCUGGCUUAUUCUCCUACAUCUGAAUGCCAGUGCAUACGGCGGGCCGGCAGUGGGAAGGGACACGCCUGUGUGUGUGUGUGUGUGUGUGUGUGUGUGUGUGUGUGUCCCUGCAUGUGCUGCUGUGCGUCUGGGCGUGCUGUGCGUCUGGGCGUGCUGUGUGCCUGCACGUCGUCCUGUGUGCCCGUGACAGUGUGCCUACCCGUCACCGUGUCACUGAGCUCAGGUCUCAGGGUGCACACAUGUUUAUACCUGUCUGCCUGUGCCUGUGUGUGUCAGCGUGGGAGGGCAUGCUGGCACAAGUGUGUCUCCGUGUGUGUGUGUUGACAUGGGUAAUUCCAUGGCGGGUGGUGUGUGCACGUGUCACAUGGGGGGAUGCCGUGUGUAGGUGUGGGUGUUGGCCACAGCGGGCUGAUAUGGCAGGACACAGGGAGGGCGUACACACAUGUCAGUGAGGGCACUGCGUGUGUGUGUGUCUGUGUGUGUUUGGACACAGGGAUUGGGUGCGAUGGGUGGAGCGGCAGAUGGCCCCUCCUGGUGUGUGACGUCCAUGGCCACAGCUCUAAGAGCCCAGCCCAGGUUUUGGCAAGAAUUUCCUCUCACUUUUGCCAGGGUCAGGAGGGUGGAGGGUGGGGUGUGAUGACGGAUGGUGCUCUGGGGCUGCCGGCAGCGGCAGCGGGCCGGCAGCGCCCUCCUCACUCCCUUCCCAGCUGGGAAUAGUCGGCAGCUCCUCUCAGGCCCCUUCCUCCUCUUCCUCUCUCCCUCCUCUCUCUUCUCAGGUGCUGGGCCCAGGCUUAGCUCCCGGGCCAAAGGUGUGGAUACUGGGACACCCUCCCCGGAGGUCAGACCCAGACCCUGGGCGGAGACAGACACUCCCCCCUCCUGUUCCAUGGCCCUGCCUGGGGGUCUACUUUGGGUCUAUGGUCAAGGAGCCUCAUCAGGGUGCCCAGGCUGGGGCCUCAGGGCCUGGAAACACAGGGAAAGGGGUCAAACGGCACAGGGCCGGGGCAGGGGGCAGGUGCCUGGAAGCCCAAGGAGCCCCCAGCCCAGGUGAGCCCCUGCUGGUGUCCCUGGCAGGUGGGUCACGGCAGGUGCACUCCAGUGGAUGUGCCCCAACUGGUGUGUGUCCUCACAGGUGUGCCCCAGCCUGUGGCCCCCAACAGGUGUGACCGAGUUUCCCCAGGAGGAGCGAGCGGAGCCAGCCGCCGGGCCCGUGGGGCGAGUGGCUGAGCCUCUAGGGCUCCCAGUACCCACCCCCGGCCCGGAGGCCAGGGCCCUCCCACCGCUGCCACUGCCCCACCGGCAGCCUGGCCACCCCAGGGACGUGACCCUGACCCCACCCGGCCCCCCACGUCCCAGCUCAGGGGCUCACAAAGGGAGAGGAGGGAAGAGAAAAAUCGCAGAGAUUUGUCUUGUCUGGGGCUGACAGCGGAGCGAGUGAUUGCCAGGCCCGCUUGGCAGUUUUUAAUCAUUUUAUCUCUGUUCUCGGCUCUCCGGGGAGACAGCCAGUGCUUAGCAGUCUGCUCAGAAAGACCUCAGGGCGCGUGGCGCAGCGGCGGCUCCAAGCUCCCAUUAUUAGCUGUGCUCUUCGGAGCGCGCUCCGAUCUCUCCCGGGGGAGCCGGUGAAAAAUUAACACGGGCCGGCGGCGCGGGCGCCCGAUGUAACUGUAAUUACUCCAUUGAUAUUCCUCACACAAUAGCGCUGUCAUCAGUCAUUUACAUAAACUUUCUCUCCGCAAAGACGGGCGGAGGUGCCUAAUCCUAUUGGGUGCUUCCACUGCAUGCAUUAUACAUGGCAGGGGGCCCCUAGGUGCGAGGGGAGGGGACAGAUCCGGGGAGGAGAGAGGGGAGGGGAGGGGAAAGAGAGUUGGAGGAUCAUUGGAGAGGAAAGGAAUGAGGAGAGGAAGGGACUAGGAGAGGCCGGGAGGAGAGGAGGGGAAGGGAGAGAUGGUUGGAAAAGAGGAGUGGAGAGGAGAGAACCAGGAGGGGCGCUAGGGGAGAGCAAAGGGCUGGCUGGGCGGAGCGGGGCCCAGAGCCAGGAGCCACCCUGCGGAGGGCGGGGUCCCCGUGGGCUGGAGCCCAGCGGGGCUGGGGUCCCGCUUUACCCGAUGAGGGUCCCCCUGAAUCCGGGGCCGGCCCACCAGGUUUGGGCAAGGGAGGCUCCUCUGUUGCGGGGGAGGGAGGGCAGGUGAACCCGAUCCUCCGAGGGCCCCCAGCAAAGCCUUGCCCCGGAUUCAGGGACCGUCCCCCACUCUUACCCACCCGGAGGGCCAAGCCCUAAACCCUGCCGGGCAUGUGGCUCAGGCUGGAGGCUCUUCAGCUCCUAAGGAGUUAAAACCUCCCUGGAAAUUACCCCUGUAAUGACCUAAUUAAAGACUUGGGGGGGGAGGGGACACCUACUCCAGGGUGAAAGCUAAUAACACCCGCCCAACAAUAAUAAUCCUGGUGGAGCCCCCCCCAUUUUUGCUGUAGCCUCAGCCCGCUUCCGACCACCCUCACUUGACCCCCUCCUCUGGUAUCUGGGGCGGGCCAGGGGCUGAGCCCCCAGCUGGGCAGGGAAGGGCUCCGGAUGGGACCAAGGGGAGAGGUCCAGGAUAGUCAAAUUUCUGUUGCUGAAUAUUUAAUGAAGCCUGUGCGGUUUAUUCGGUUGGCCUGUCGAUUUUUAUUCUUCUGUCAAUAGCUUCUCAUAUGUGGGGUGUGAUGAUCUUUAGCAGGGCCUCUCCAGGGAUGGCCGCCACUGAAUGCAAUUACGGAUUUUAUACCUCAAUGUGUUUGAUAUUUCCACUGAUCUAAUUUGCAGCCUGGUAGUUUAUUGUUUGGCAUUUUAAUGGCGUUCAAAUGCUAUGGGAAAUUUGAUUUCUUUUUAUAAUUCCUCUUAACGCAGUUAAUGCGGGUGGUGGGAUGGCCCAGAUUGUAGAGUCCAAUGUAUAGAAAAAAGAGAACAGAACACACCCUGUAUAUGUUUAGGGACGUGUCCGUUGAAGGGAGAUGUCCCUUUGAGCCGUGGAGCCCAGGUGCCUGCCCGCCUCGGGGUGGUGACCUCUGAUGCUGGUGUGGGGAGCUGGGGCUCAGAUGUAGGGGAGCUCUUGGUGGUGCCCGGGGCUCAGGCAGAGGGCCCAGCACGCAGUCCUUUGCUCCUGCUGCCCUGAGCCCCGUGGCCUGUAGGCCUUGUCAUAAGACCUCUCUGAGUGGCUUUAGGUCACUGCCCUGUCCAGUUUUGAGCAGCUGCAGAGUCAGGGAGGCCAGCCCUACCACUGCCACCAGUUUUUGUGGCCUGUAUCUGAGGGCAGGGGCUGUACCAGUCCUGGGACUUUGAGACCAGGGGUGAUUUUGUGACCUGCCUGUCAUCUGUGUGACACGUUCUUGUGGGGCCUCAGCCACAUUCACCAAAUGUGUCAAGUUCCAAGUCUCAGGUCAGGGCAGUCCCCACUUCGGCCCCUGCAUGCACCUCUCCUUCCUGGCCUCCUUGGGAAGGCUAGGCAUGGGCGCAUGGCCAGGGCAGGCCCUGGCUGCCCCAUAGCCCAGACCUGGGUUGCUGGAGGCCGUGCUGGUUCUUUUCAAGGCUGGACUAGAGCAGAGAGGAAGCUGAGGUCCACGGAGCAAGGUGGAGGACCCUCACCUCCUUGGGGCAGUCCCCCUGAGCUGAGCCACUUUCUUUCCUGACAGUGAGUCCACAGGCUGAGCUCUGGGCAGGAGGGGCCUUCUGCCCUUGGUUAGUGGGGUACAGCCAUGGAGGACACUGGGAGAGCCUACUGCUGGGAGCUGCCCGCCUGUAGCAGGACAGCUGGGGCUGGUCUACCAGCAAAUGCCCUAGAUUUUCUAAAAACAUCUUCUGGGGAAAAGGAGUCCAGAAAAGCUCAGGAAGCUCUUGCAAGUGGCGUGCCUGGAAGUGGGCAGGGAAGACGGUCCAAGGCGGGUAGGCGGAGUUCCUGUGUCCUGGGUUCCCAGGCGCCACGGGGCAGGCCCGGCAGCCUGGCCCAGAGAGCAAGGAGGGAGCGCAUCCUCGGGCCUUCCAGAGGGUCUGUCCAGGCUCCCUGCAGCCUGCAGACCCCAAGUUCUGGUUUGGAAGGUGCCCCUUCCUGGAGCACAAGGGGACCUGGAGUCCGGUUGUGUGGAGAUGCAGAACUAACCCGGCUGCGCUUUACUGGACACCCACUGUGUGCCGAACAGCACGCUGAGCACUUUGCAUGCAUCAUCUCAUCGCAUCCGCAGGAAGCGCAGGCACCAUCGUGUCAUCCCCGUUUCACAGAGGCAUAGACUGAGGCUCUGAGAGUUUCACAACACCUGCCCGAGGCCACAGUGAUGGCAGGGCCAGAACAGGAACCCAGGUGCGUGUCGCUUCAGAAGCGCCGGUCUUGACCACGAGCCUGAUAGUACGUUCUUCCCAGGGCCAGGCUGGGCAUGUCUGCGCCGGGAGAGCUGUCCCCACCUAGCGGGGGCCCUCCUCCUCAGCACAGCUGACCCUGGUUUCUGUCCCUGGCCCAGGCUACCCCCAUAAUCCACAGGGCUGCUGGCUCAGGCACCGUGGUUGGCUUCUGUCUUGGGGAGAAUUCUGUACCUUUUGGAAAGGAAUGGCUGUCCUUCCCAUCCUCCUGGGGGAUUCUAACCCUGCCACCUCUCCCAGGUUUCUGCCAUGUCCAGUCCAUCUUCUGCAUGGCUGCUGUCCACAAUGCCAGCCCCGCCAGCUUCUUGGCAGCUUAAAUGUGAGCAGUUACAGUAAGAGCUCACGCUCACGAGUCCCUACUCCAGGCCAGGCCCUGGGCCAGCACUUCCCACGCAUUCCCCCACAACUCCAUGAAGCAGGGACCAUGGUUAUCCCCAUUUUACGGAUGAGGAAACUGAGGAUCAGAGAGGACACAUUCCGGCUAGGGGCCUACUACGACUCAAAGCUUUCCCUCAACAUCCCUUCCAAUUAGAACAAUUAUAUUAUUCCAUAGCUUUCUUUUGUGUCUCAUGCCACCGAAUUGUGUUCAUGUAUGUGUCCCCAGCCAGCCUCAGAGGCCUGACAGGGCAAGGGCUGGGUCUGUCCUGCUCAUAGUCUGUCUGUUGCUGUAACGGGGCCUGGCACCCCUCAGAUCCCAGAAAGAUUGUUGAACAAAUGCAUGAAUGGACAAGUGAAGGCCCAGAGCCCAUACUCUCGACCUCUCCUUCCAGCCGUUCUAAGAUCUCCUGGCACCUUCAGGAGAGAUUAAGGUCUGGAUGCCAGAUACCAAGGUUUUCAUAGUUUUCUUGCCACAUACCCCUCAGGUCCCAUCGCCAGCCCCUCAGCCCCACCCCAGAUGUCCAGUUCUCACCUCCCAAGUCUCACUUUCCCUGGACACUCAACUCUCUUUCAUGCCUCUGUGCCCCUGUCCACACUGUCCUCUGCACCAAAUAGCUUUCCCCUUCUCUCACCAGGCGAACUCCGCUCAGCCUGUGUGACCCAGCUCGGGUCAUGCUUUGCCAUUGUGCCAUGCUGCCCUGGCAUAACCUGGAGGGAGAGUCUCCCAUUAUAGCACAGACACUGGGGAGGGUCUGUUGAAUGAAUGAAUAAAAGAAGGAAACAGGGGGAAGGAACACUUCUGUGGGGCAUCUCAGAUAACUCCCCUGCCCAGGCUGGAGGUUUAAAACAAACUGGCUUCCUGCUCACCCAGCAACUCCCACCUGGGGUGGAAGGGAAAAUGGAUUGAAACUCUGUUGGCCCCGAGUGUGGACAGGGGCACUGUCAGCAGGUGAUGGAUAAGCAGCCCGCUUCGGCCUCACCCUGUCCUGAGAGCUGUCUGGGUGUUAAGUGGACUCCUCCCUUCCCAGACCCAAUCAGCAGUGAAAUCAGACCUGAGUAAUCUGAUGUCCCACUUAGGAAAGAAAACAGGAUUCCCCAGCCUGGGAGGAGGCUGCGGCCACGGUGGGCAGUGGGGGGGAUAACCUGCUAGCAUCAGCGUCCGCCAUCAGGGGCCCGAUAAGAUCUUCACAGCUUGUUAUCCUGGGUCAGGCUGACUUGUGUGCAUGGCUGGGGGGAGCUGUCCAGGUAGCUGGAUCUGCUCUCUGUAACCCGCCUGGGGAGGGCUGAGGGGCUGUGUGGAGACGGCUGCAGGAGGAACCGGGGUCCCAAGACCUCUGUCUGCCCCCAGGAGCACCAACUUUUGAUCCUUGAGCCUUCAACUGCAUGUCAGUAGAUCCCAGGGGAACGGAUGGAUGCAGGCAGUGCAGUUCAGUGGAGUCACACAGACCACAGCGCAGUCGCUUCCCAGCUGUGUGCCCUUGAGCAAACCACACACCCUUUCUGAGCCUCAGUCGCCUCCUCUGUCACUGGGGAGCACAACUCCUACUCCUGGAUUGUUGACAAGAUUUAGUGACAUCUUGUUUGGCCCUGACACAGUGAAGCAAAUCAGAACUUAGGUGACCAAGCCAUUCAUUGUCCAAACCAGGACACUUUCAGAGUGAAAGGGGAUGUUACUGAUAAUUAUGCUGGGGGCUUCCCUGGUGGCACAGUGGUUGAGAGUCCGCCUGCCGAUGCAGGGGACGCGGGUUCAUGCCCCGGUCCGGGAAGAUCCCGCACGCUGCAGAGCGGCUGGGCCCGUGAGCCAUGGCCGCUGGGCCUGCGCGUCCGGAGCCUGUGCUCCGCAAUGGGAGAGGCCACAACAGUGAGAGGCCCGCGUACCGCAAAACAAAACACUGGAGAGCAUUUUUAAAGCCUGGGCAGGUAUUUUUGUAUGACACACAAAAUGCACAAAAGAGGCAAAGUGUGCUUGGGAAUCUGACCACACUUUUAGUUCUCUGCAGACAGAACUCUGCUUGUAUGUGUAAGUCUGCCACCGAACAGUGACUCGUUUCCAGGGGCUGCCUGCCUGCAGCGGGCAGGGGUGGGGGCCGUGCGAGAGGGAGAGACCCAUGGGCUUUGGAUCCCAGAAGUCUCCUGAGGGAGGGCGGCGGGGCGUCCUCAUUGUGGAGCCCUUGCCACUUGCACAGGGGCGUGGAUACCCUGCAGCUCCUGAGCCAGAAUUUUGGAAGUGGGAGGAUCUUGAUGCAUUCAUCAUUCAGCAAGCAGUUAGUGAGGACACGCUGUGUGCCAGCCGCCGUAUCAGGCAUGGAACAUACAAAGAUAAGCAAGGGAGCUCCCAGUUUUGUGAGAGCACCCAGGCUGUUGAUGAACUGUUGUAUAGGUUGUUCACUGCACAAGGGCACCCAGCCAAGGGGGUGAGUAGGAGACUGAAAUCUAUUUUGUACUUUGUUCACCUGGUCUGGCCAGAAGAAGGGGUGCCACUUUCAUUUAGUAUCAGGGUCCGGCGUGGGCUAACAGUUAGUGAAGGGAUGACCACGGGGUCGUGGGGCUUCGCUUGGGGGAAGUAGCAGUGGGAUGGGAGAAAUCCUCUCAGAAGAGGGGCUGGCCUCGGGGCACCCUGCCUGCUGACCCUCUGCCCUCCCUGCUGCCUGCCAGCCCCCUCCCUCUGGUCCAAAUUCCCACCUCCUGAUUAGAUUUGGGAAGGACUAAUUAGAUAUAAUUCAUUAUCCUCAAAAACGAGAUCAGAAAUCAGGAGCUCUCCUCAGAAGAAGGUGGCCUCGCCCCUCAUCCAUCAUGCCUCUAAGUAACCAAUUUAAAGUCAGGCGGACGCACGCAGCAGCAUUAUUACCUUGUCAUAAAUAGUUAGGGGAAGGCCCCCGAACAAGGCAGCUUUAUAAAUGGUUUUUAUCACAUUAGUUUGCAGUUAUUUGUCAUCCACUUUGCUUAAGAUAAAUGCCGAACAAAUAAUCAAAUUAUCAAGCCAAAACCUUGGAAAGUCAUUUGCAUUAAUGGCAGCAGUAAAGGCCGGGCAUCCCAGUCGAGAGAGCCCCCUGCCUCUCUCAGGCCUCGUUUGCGGGGUGGGGCUCGAGGACUUCCUGGCAGGGGUGGGAAGUCUGUACUGGCAGCCGGAGACACCCAGAGGCCCCGCUAUGGGACAGGGCCAGCUGGACCUGGGGCUGGGCUGGGCCUUUCAGGGGACUCAGGGGCUGUGCUUUCCUGGGGCUGGAGCUGGGGUGUUAGGGUGGGUUUGCCAGGGCCCCCCUUCCUCAUACACCCACAGACACGCUCCCACAGAUACACACACACACACACACACACACACACACACACACACUCCUUACUCUCUGUUGCUGGGAGCUCAUUGGUGCCUUUUGUCUGGCCCCAGAAGGGCCCUGUCACGGGCCUGAAUGGACCCCCUACCCCUGCAGAGCGUGACAGGUUCAGGCGACUCAUGCCCCAGGCCUGUCUGGCUCCUGUGCUGGCCACCAGUGCUCUGGCGGCAGGUGGUGAGGAGGGUCCCGGGCCUGGGCGGAACAUGUCCAGGGGCGCCCACUGACCCCUCCCAGCUGGGCCCGGAAGGCUCCCUCCAGCAGCAGCCCCUCAGUAACGAAUGGCAAUUUCACGCCGCCCCCAGGAGGCCCUCCUGCGCCCCAGCUGGGCCAGGACUGGCUAGGCCUGCAGGCGCCCAGCCGUCCUCCCCGCCCGAGCGGGGCCGGCCCUGGCCCAUCCAGCUUCCUACACGUUCAGGUCAGGGCAGGGGUCCUGCUCAGUCAUCUGGCUGCAGACACUGGCCUGACGUCAGAGACGGUCCUGGGGGUGGAUGUCUACACUGGCCUCAGAGGUUGUCUUAUGUGGGGUGGUCUACACUAGCUUCAGAGGCUGUCCUGUUUGUGAGCAUCUCUGCUAACCUUAGAGGUUGUCCUGGUGUGGCCAAGGCAAUAUGAGUCUUCUGUGGUCAGUGUAGACCCUCUUGGAGCCGCCCAAGAAGGGAUUUCUGAGGCCAGUUUAAUAAUAAAGUGAUUAGCAUGGACUCUGGAGCCAGGUGGCCGGGGUCAAACCCCAGCUUGACCACUGUGAGACUUUGGGCAAGUUACUUAACCUCUCUGUGCCUCAAUUUUCUCAUCUGUAAAUAGGGUAGUAACAAUAUUAACUGGGUUAAUAUUAUUUGUAAAGGGCUUGUACCAAAGCCUAGAACACAGCACCAUAGCAGGGCUUGAAAUACAAGAGGUCAGAGUGAUUUCCAGCCUCGUGUGAACAUUCGGGCAAUCUUUGCUUAAUGGAUUUAUCUGCCUAUCCUGUCCUUCCUUCAGUCUAACACUAGUCUUCCCUGAGCAUCUCGUGUGUGGGCGGGGCUGCGGCUGUAGCCAGGCCAGCUGCGGUCCAUGCCUGCUGUGGUUCUUGGGUGGGGAUGAAACAGGCAGCAUCGGGGCCUUUGGUGGGUGUCGUGAUGGGGGACGACACAGGCAGCUGCUGCAGAGUCAGAGCAGGAGAGCUUAACCAGUUAAGGGACCCCACAGAAGGGGUCCCUGAAACAGCAAGAUCUAAGAUCUAAGAUGGGAACGAGGUAGCCCAGGGAAGAAGAGUAGAAAAACUUCUCCACGCAGGACAACCUCUGAGGCCAAUGUAGAUACACUAACCCUGAGUGGCCUCUGCAGCCAGUGUAGACACCCCACGCAGGGUGACCUCUGAGGCCAGUGUGGACGCCCCAAUGCAGGGCUGCGUCUGCAGUUCCAUUGGCUUCUUGCCAGGAGCGCUGGCAGGGCCCGGGCGGGUUCUGAACAGGGCAGCCCAGGACGAGGCAGGCAGACAUGUCCAGGGCAGCUGCUCCGGGUGGUGGGCGGAGGGCUGGCGCGUGGGGGGCACUGAAGCUGAGCCGCAGCACAUGGUUGCUGUCUGUUUAUUGGGCAGCUGAGCAGGUUUAAUGGGCCAACCCGCAGGCCAUGGAGAGACAGCCCUCAGAGGAGCCAUAGCAGAGGGAGGCCCUCCCUCCGCCCCAGCCGCCCCAGCUCAGCUGGGCCGCCGGAGUCUGGGGCUCUGUGGGGCCCUGUGGGGUCCUUGCCUGCCCCUCCCUGCCCCCCAGCCUGUGGUGUGGCUGUGGCCCAGCCCUGAGCAGGCACCUGGAGAUGCCAGGCCCCGGUGGGAGGGGCUGGCCUGCCCCUCACUCUCCUCAGAGGGAUCCCUGCAAGGUGUGGCCAUCACAGCCGGGAGGAGGACACCUGGCCAGGCGCGACCUUUGCCCUCCCCAGGCAGGCCUGCAGCGCCCCCGGCCCCGGUGGCCCUCGCAGCCCCCAGCCGCAUCAAUCACUCAUCUUCCCACCCUCCGAACAGCUGGUGCUUCCAGGGAAAUUACCUAAUGAAUCAACAAUGCGGGGAUUGUGGAGGCAGAACGGCUAGAGACAGGCCUCUCCCAGCGCUAGGCCCACUGGGCACAGAGGGUACCCGCGGGCCAGUAGGGCCCCCUCCCCCCUCAGGCUCCUACCCCCAGCACCUUGCAGGUUAAAGAAGGCUGCAGUCAGACAGACCUGGGUACCACGGCCCGUCUCUCACUUGCCAGCUGCAUGGCCUUACGAGAGUCACUUUACUUUUCCCAGCUUGGGUUUUCCUUGUCUGUACAAAUGGGGUUAAUAUGGUACCUUGUGCUCUGAGACUGUGUUGACUGAGAGACAUGGCCCACGUGCAGUGCUUAGCAGGGGCUUGGCAUGAGUGAUUGCUCAGUGCAUGGGAGCCUAAUAAUAAUAGUUAUGACUAUACCUGCCCAGGAAGCGUUCAUUUAUUUAUAGUUCCCAGUGACCCUUGCCAGGGAAAUUCCCUUCAGCCUCACUCUCCCUAGCUGUAAAGUGGGGCCAGGAGCCUCUUGGCUUGAGGGUCGUGACAGGGACCGAAAUGUCCCAGCCUGUGCAUGGCGGCUGGCCUGGUUCCUGUCCCUGGAAACCUCCUGGCUCCCAGCCUGGGAGCACAGCCCUGGGAAUUCUGCAGAACCAGUUCCCUGAUCUAGCUGCAUGCGACUCCCACGCCCUGCCCUCAGGGGGAAGGAUGCCUGCGCCUGGGGUGAGCACAGGGGCCUGGGGAGGUACUGCGGAAGUGUGUGGGGCUGGGCUGGGAGCCGGUGGGCAGCCUGUUGGAGCAGGCCCUGAGCUGGGCACAGAGGGCCCAUUGUUGCUGGGCCCAGCCAGGCUAGGCCCCGAGUUUCGAGAAGUGUCUAGACAGGGCAGCCCCAGGCCCUGGCCUGGCCUUCCUCUGGGCGGGGCUGUGCCACAGGGGACAGGCAGGGAGGCUGGUGUCCUCAGCUCAGAGAGACAGACGGAGGAGGCUCGGGUGGGGGCAGGGCUGCCAAGCGGGAAGAACAAACAGGCACAGUCCACACGCUGCUGGCAAGGAGGACGGCGUCAGCUGUGGUGACCCGCGUGGGACCUGGAGAGGGACCUGGACCUGGGAGGCAGAAAACCCCGGGCUCCAAUCCUGGCUCUGUGGCCGUGUGACCUGGGGCAGGUGAUUGCCCCUCUCUGAGCCUCGGUGACCUCAAGGGAACAACCUAAGGUUUAACAACUCUGAAGUCAGAGAGACUUGGGUUCAAAUCCCAGCAGCUGCGUGCCUUUUGCAAGGUAUCUUUGUGAGCCUCAGCUGCCUCAUCUGUAAAGUGGGGAUAAUGAUAAUCCUUUCCUCAUUUCUAAAAUGAGAUGAAACAAACGAUGCCUGGCAGGGAAUGAAUGUGCGAUAAAUGGUAAUGACUGCAGCUAUUAUUAUCGUCAUCAUCCCGAUUUGUUUUGGAUGAAACCAGACCUGCACAUCACCUGCCAGGCAUUGCCUGGCGCAGAGCCGACGGUCACUGUUGAGAGAGCCUUUCCUGAGACAGCGUGCUAGGGCCCUGGCCCUGGCCUUGGCCUCGGUUGCCCUGCCCAUGAAAUGGGCUCAUCCCAGACCAGGCCACCCACAGCUCAGGGGCAGUGGGCCAGGCCAUCUGUGGGGAAUUCCCCUCCUGGCCUCUCUGCCUCCCAGCGUGGGACUGUUUUUAGCUGGAUGGGUAGGAGUUGCUGCUCUUCUCUCUCCUGGUAUUUUUGGCACGUCCUGACUGAUGGGGCUCCUCUGCCCUCCUGUACCAGCAGCUCCCACAGAACCUGGCCUGAACCUUGUACCAGGGUCUUGCCUCCCACCCCAGUCCCGGGAGACACCAGGAGGAAGAGACACCUGUGCAGCCACCUCUCAUGUGCCACGAGCGGCCUCGGGGCCACCCACAGCUGGCCCCAGGUCUGAGGCUGUGGGGGUCUUAGAGCACCCGCCAGGCUCCCCUCCCCCACAUGCUCUGUGUGGUUUCCAUGGCAAUGAACACAAAUCCCCUAGUGCUUCACAGAGGAGCCUUGUUUGUUUUGUACGCAUAACUCUGGAAACCAUGUCACAGGCCCCGGCCCCCCAAAUCCCCCCCUCAGCCCAGCGCACUCCCCAACCUGAUCAGAUGGACCCAGACGGGCCCAGAUGGGGGGCAGCACGCUCCUCCUCUGGACCAGGCCAAGGGGCCGUCGACGGGGAGCCGGGCCGCGUCACCUCCCAGCCCCUUCCCCUCUUGGAGCCUCACUUCCCUUGCCUGUAGAAUGGGGAUGUGUCCUGAGACAGAACGUGUGACCUGGCCCACACUAGGUGCUUAAUAAAUGCACAAGUUGUGCAGAACCUUUCCUGUCCUUGACCAAAGUACUUCACCUUUCUGAGCCUCGAUUCCUCUACCUGUGAAAUGGGGAGAAAGGUCUCUACCUUAUUAGAGGGGAUGAAGCAUUCAAUAAAAUGAUGCAUGUACAGUGCUUAGCAGGGUGCUUGGCACUGAGCAAGGGCCCACUCGGUAGCGAUGCUUUCAGUGUUGCUCCUGUGUUAUUAUCAUCAUCCCCAGCUGGGGGUGGGGUAUUCCCGCCAGGCCCUCCUACCUCUCUGGCUUCCUCCAGCUCAGGGAGCUGCUGCCUGAACCCAGUCCCCCUCCUCGACGCCACACCCCCCACACCCCACCCCCUGGCAGGGUAACCUGAUUUGGGGGGAGGGGUGGUGCAGCCUGGCACGGCCCAUUGUUCGGGUCCCCCUGGAGCUGGGGCCACGCGGUUGGCGGGGUAGCUGCCAGCUGCGCGGUGACAUUCCGCAGCCCUGCUAACCGCUGCUCCUGACUCUGGUGGCUAAAUUGAGUCUCGGUUUCCUUAAAAUGACUAUUUAUUGCCUUAGUGCAGUACUGAGUAUUUACUGAGUGUUGGCAAAAAAGGCUCGCCCAGCUCAGGGCGGUGCAGCCUCCGGCAGCGGCAGUGGGGCUGCUCCAGGAGGGCCGUCUGGAGAAGGGGGGCGGCCUCUCUUUCCCAGAGAAACAGAGGCCCCUCCGGUGCUCCCCGUACUGGGCUGCAAGGGCGGGGUUGCCAAGUCUCUGAUCUGGACCACUCCCUCCCCAGGUGGUGUGUGUUCAGGAGGAGAAGGCCUGCCUGACACCCACCCCCCCCACCCCCGCCCCUCACAGGCGUGGAGAAUCGCUGCCCUUUGAACAGAUCAGGCACCAGCUGCCCCCCACCUGCCCCCAGCAGCCCGCCUCCUCAGCGAGGCCAGCUCAUGCCAGCCUGGGGCAUCUCAGCUGUGUCCCCUGCACGGAGACCUUCACACACCCAACGAGGCGGGGCGUGGGCCCUCCCUGAGGGCUGCACCAUUGUCUCCAGGUUAAUGCAAACGCUGACCAAAACCCAGAAGGAGCCGUGCGUUGAGAGGCUGCAGUGUUGUGCCUGUGAAACAGAGAUGGGAGGAGGAAGCAUCUCCAUUGGAGCUGCCCUGUGUGGGGCGCCUGAGCCGGCCCUGGGCUGAGGUGCUGUGCCCCGGAGCUCAGGAAUCCCCCUGACAACCCGUGAGGGUAGCUGCUGUAUUUGCCCUAUUUUACAGAUGGGAAAACUGAGGUUUGAGAAGUCAGAUCUGAACCCAGGUCUGGCUGCUCGGCUCCCCACCUUGCAGGGUCCCAGGGUGUUAUGGUAGCCCGAAGGAGGAUGCCAGGGGUGCCGGCGGGCUCCCUGGAGGAAGCGCCCAUUGAAUAGCCCUGAAGGACAGAAAGCAUUCAACCAACAGCCCUGGAGGGGGCCCUGGGCAGGCCAGGAGGAGGGAUGGGGGAAGCAAAGGCAGAGAGGUGGACCAGGAAGAAUCUCAGAGUGCGCAGUAGCCUCGAGAGUGAGGCCGAUCACGUGAGUGGAGCCAGAUCAGGGAGAGCUUGCCUUUGUGCGGCUGGAGCCUCAGAUCCACUCCUAGAAAGAGGAAGGAGAGGCAGUGAGGGAGAGAGAGGGCAGAAAACUGAGGGCAAAGAAAGAAACAGCAAAAGGAAGAGGGAAGUGGGCAAGAGAAGUUGUUGAAGCGGCUGCGAUCAGGAGGGCCACAGCUCAGGUGUCUGGCCUUGCCUCUGCGCUGGCACUGCUCUGGGUGCUUCAUGGAUUCAAAGUGUGGAUGGAGAGCUCGGGCUGGCCAAGGAGGACUGCGGGCUGCCCAGGGGAGGGACUCUGAAGACGUCUGAGCAGCGUGACACCAUUUGACUUUCAUUCCCAAAGAGCCAGGAGGAGGCAGAGAGGUCCAGGAGGCCAGUGUAAGGGCUGGCAGGGUGGGUGUACAGGGACAGGGGUCCACAGAGGUGCCACGUGGGCAGAACAGGAAGCGGAGUAGACCAAGGUCGCGGGGUCCUGGACCUCAGCCCGGGGUGUGAGUGUCACCUCUAGAAGAGCUGGGCAGAUGAACCAAGCUUAGGGAGGAGAACGAAUGGGCUUGUGGCACGUUCUUUUCUUUUUUAUAUUAUAAAAGCCUUUGUUGCUUGUUUAAUAAAUCCAGACCAAGCAGAGGUAAGUCAAGCAAAAUGGGACAGUCCUCAUCCCUUCCCCCACUCCCUUCUCAGAGGCCGUCAGCGACUGAUGGGGAACAUUCCAGACCUUUCCUACAUGUGUGCGAGCAUGUUCUGCAAGCAUGUCCCGUGCACAUGCAGUUGGCUUUCCUCUUUAGGAAUCCGUAUUUUCUCUGCGCUGCGCUGCUCUGCACUUGCCUCCUCCACUUAGCAACGUGCUGAGGACAUCUGCCCAUUGCAGUGCAUGUGGAUUUACCUCUGUCCUUGUAACCACAACAUAACAGUCCAAGGAAUGGGUGAGCUUUGAUUUAUUAACCCAUUUCCCCCACUGACAGCCCUUUGGGCUGUAGCCAGUGCUUCACUGUCACACACACAAUACAUCAGCAAACAUCCUGGUACAUAUAUCUUUGUGCACAUGUGCCGCAUGACGGGAACUGGGGUGUAAACACAUUGGGUGGUGCUGCCCUGGGGGCAUCUACUCUCAGCAGCCCAGGAAGCAGGUGGGCGAAGGGAUCUGGAGCCCAGGGGAGGAAGGGGGUCCCUGAAGGAGGGAUCAGUGCUGCAGAACUGGAGGUGGUGGCUUGAGGGCAUUUGGCAUCAAAGCGACAAUCAAAGUCAUAAAGGGACAGAGCCCUGGGGGUCCUAGCAUUUAAGAGCAGGUGGCGAACCAGGAACCUGCAAAUAUGUGGGGGGAAACCAAGACCAUGUGCCUUCGUAGUUACCAGAAGAAAGGGAUGGUGAAAUGUGUAAAUGGCAGAGGAGGCUGUCAAGCCCCUUGCGUAGUCCUGGCACAUAGAAGCUGCUCACUAAACACUGGGUGGUUAAAGGAGUGAAUGAGUGAAUGAAUGAAUGAAUGAAUAAGGCCCUUAGGUCUGGAAGGUGUUGUGUGUUUUCAGCUGAAUGGUAGUUUGGGGCAAGUGGAGAAAGCUGAAACCAGGUUGCGUGGGGAGGGAUGCAGGUGAGGCUAAGGUAGCAGUGGGUGUGGACAGUCUCCUCAGAGCCUGGCUGGCCAGGGAUGGGGAGAGGUGGGCAGGUUGAGGAGGAGGCCGGGAGCUGAGUGUCCUGGCAGGUUAGGAGGGGGAGGGGGAGGAAGAGAUGCUGAGGGAGUUUGCAGCUCGGGGACAGGGACUCUUAGUGAGGCCAGGGGUCCACAGGGACCUCAGUAUUGAGGUGCUCAGGGCUUGGAGGGGGUGUGGGAGUCACUUCCUGAGCACCGUCCUGGGCUCUCAGCACUCACCCUCUCCUUGUUUCUUCACCAGAACCCUGCGAAGGCAGGUGAUAACCUCCCGUUUUACAGAGGAGGAAACUGAGCCUCUGGAGGGGAAGUCAUGAGCCCAGGGUCACAGAGCUAAGAUGAAUCCACAUCCUACAGACUCCAAAGAAGCCCCCCGCUCUCCCCGCUCUGUGCCCCCUACUCUCACCCGGGCCCUCCUGGGGUGGCGCUCAUCAAGGAGUGAUACUCAAACAGAGCCAGGAGCCCCAGGGGAACUGGUUCCCUUUACCCACAGAGUGGGGUAAGUGUGUGCAUUUUUCCUCCUCUCUUAAACCACCAUGGAGGCUUUGUUGGGUAAAAAACCCGAGAUGCAGUCAGAUUUAUUUGCCAUUUAGAAAUGGACCCAGAGACAGUGACAGUCCUGGGGUCCAGUCCAGCCAAGGGGCUCUCUGGCCACCUUGGGCACUGGGCGGCCCUGGCCCUGCAGGCUGCGGGGAGGGCUGGGGAGGAAGAGUGAGGCUCGCACAGCAGAGAAGAUGGGCGGGCCUUCCAGGGAGCCAGCAGGCAGGAGUGAAGGUGGAGAGGUGACAGUGUGUGCAAGGAGCAGCAGGGAAGCGGAGCAGGGUCCAGCUGAGGGCUGGGAGCUCAUGUGUCUGACAUGGGCUGAGGCCAAGGGGAGCUGGAGCUGGGCCAAUAGGGCAGAAACCGGGGUGGACGGCCAUCCAGGGUGCGAGGCCCGGGGAAGACUGCAGCUGGGGAGGAGAGGCGGUCAGCGAGCUGGGGGCCCUGAACAAGCCACCCAGCAGCCUGGGCUGCGGCUGCGGGCUGGCCUCUUCCCUCUCAGCCUGGGCCUCCUGCCCCAUCCAGCAUUAACCCUGCGGCUACUUUUAGGAGAGCCAAACCUUCCUAGACGUUUUCUUCUGAAAAAGAGCUUCACUUGGGCCUGUAGUGUGUGUGUGUGUGUGUGUGUGUGUGUGCGCGCGCGUGUGUGCGUGUAUACCUGUAUGUCUAGGUGUGUCCCUUGCCACCUGUGUGGGCCUAUGUGUCUUUGUUUUCGUGUGUCGAUUUGUGUCCUUGUUUGUCCAGCAUCUCUUAAGUUCUUGUGUGCUAGUGUAUGCUUGGGUUUUUGUGUGCUGUGUGUGUUUGUACACACCGUGUAUCUGCAGGUGCCUGUGUGUACCUUUGUAUGUGCCCUCAGGUUUCCCUGGGUAAGUAGAUGGCAUCCUAGUCACCUUAGGUGUGUGUGACUGUGUGUCCACAUGUGUGUCCAUAGGUGUACAUGUGUUACGAGUGUCCCCGUGUGUGUGUGUGUGUACUUAUGAGGCCAUGUGGCACUGGGGCUAGGGGGUCAGUUGUAUCUAGGGCAGGGCAGAAAGGGAGCCCAAAGUCUCUUGGAAACUGGACAGCCCACUUCCCUGCCCCCAGGAUGCCCGCCCCCCGAGGCAGGACAGGAGCCACAGUGACCCUGGCAGAGGUGAGGGAGGCAGGUGAGAGGGAGGAUGCCUGCAGAGGAGCUGAGGGCAGGGCUCCUGGGCCCGAGAUUGAUGACAGCUGCAGGCAGGAGCUGCCUGACUGACAGGGACCCCAACAUGGCAGCUCCUCCAGAAACCUGGCACUGGGAGGCCAGCAGAACUGUGUCCCCCAGAGCAGUCACUGGAGCAAACGUGGGUGACACCCCUCUAAGGGCGGACCCCUGAAACAGCCCCAAUGGCCUCCCAUGGCUAGACACGCCUACACAGUGUCUCCGCCAGUAGGAAUGUACGUGCAUCCACGGUCAUGCACAGCGGUAGAACGUGUGAACAUGCUCAGAGAUCAGCCUGUAGAUGUAGUUACGCACACGUGCAGUCGUAAAAGGAGGCACGUCUUCGUGUGUAUGUGAAUAUGUGCGGACAGUAUGUGUGUGCACGGUGGCGCCGGCACUCGUGUGUAUUAUGCAGGCAUGAACAGCAGGGUGGGGCAAAUACAGAUGUUCAGGUGGGUGUGUGGCCGUACGUGAGUGUGUAUGGAUGUGUGCCUAUGCAGUGCCAACACACACAUCCGUAUUGGCAGGCUUGGGUAGGUGGAUUUGGGGGGCUGUAGACUACUGGUGCAUGCAACCCAGGCGUGCACGCACGAGUGCGUACAGGGAGGCGUGUGUACGUGUGGAGUCCUGUGUUCCGUGGUGGAAGGCGGGCUCACACCAGACUUGUGUACACGUAGACCUCUUCUCCCUGACCAAGCUCGCUGCUAGCACAAUGGUUGCCUGGUGGGGACUGCAGGACAGACAGACACACAGCCAGGGGGCAUCCAGGUGGCGGAGUUGGGGGCGACGGAAGCUCAGGGCGAGGGCACCUCCCCAACACUCGCAGAGCUGGACAUCCCGGGCACACGUCCAGGCCCAGCUCACCUGCGAAUGGGCAGGAUUCAAUCCCAUCCCAGUAAACCUGGCUCUGCUCCACCACUGCUGCCGAGCUGUGAGCGGGGCGGGGGUAGGGGGACCAGGCUCGGAAAUCGACCAUAAAUUUCUUGAGAUGCUUUAAUUUUUUAAAAGCUUCACUUAGAUGUUUUGCAUUGAGAAAACCCACAAAUACCAGCUAAAUGAGGUGUGCCAGCGGAAGGCCUGGUGGCCAGGCCCACGGCCCUCCCCUCCCCGCAGCUGGGCCUGGGCUCAGCUGGGGCCCCUGGGCCGGCCAGUGGGGCCGAGGGGCCCAUCUUUGUUCCGAGCGGGGCUCAGACUGCAGAGUGGCUGGGUAAAUAGUCGCCGCAGUAAUCACAGGCUGAUUCCAACUAAUUAAAUCCUGCGCCAAGAGCCCACUCCAGCCAGUAUCCCGAGAGGCCACGAAAACACAGACACCCCAGACGGGGCUUUGCUCCAGGUCGGGUCUGGUGCUCUAAUCCCGUAUCUUUUGAAAGAUAGGCGAGUCCCGGGAUGAGGGGUCAGCGGGCCUGCCCUGUGCCGAGCGGUGGAAUUUUUCAAUAACCAGCAGCUGGGUCACCCGGCACACAAAGGCAGUGUAAUAUCCUGUGGGCUUACGCGGGGAGAGAGCUCAGACCGCGCAGAGCCAGCUCCCUCCAGGCCCGGGGCAGCGGUCCCCCACAGCCCAAGCCCCCAGCAGCCAGGCCGCCGCUGCUCUCCCACCAGAAGGGCAGAGAGAGCCUCGGUCGCAGCCUCUGCUGCCCCCUCCUCCAGAGCCUGGGCUUCCAAGAAAAUUCAUCUUCCUUAUUAAAAACCAGCCUCGAUGCUCUUAGGCCCCAGCUGCAGGCUGUGUGGGGACCUGCCCAGGGUAGGGUUGUAGGGACCAGGCCCCUUCCGAGGGGGCAACGACGCUCCUCGUGUGGGGAGACCACGCUGAACAGGGCAAAGGCCUCCAGCUCUGGAGUCCGAAGGGUGGGGAUUCAAAUCCCAUGGGGCCUGUCGGCCUGAGGAGGUCCUGGCUCGUCUUUGUGCUGGCUGGUGACCUCAAGCAAGGUGUCCCCUUGUCCGCUUUGUGAGUGGGUGAUCAGGGCACGGUGGCUCUCUCUUCCCUCCCCCAGCCUCAGUUUCUUUCACUGUAUAAUGGGGAUCUGGGGCCUUCCUCACAUGCUCUGGGGAGAAGCAGGGUUUGUGCCCCCGAGGGACUGACACACUGUAGAGGGCUGUCCUCGGCAGGAGCCAUGCAGCACAUGUGAGAGUGAUUAGAAGCUGCAGAGACCCAGUUGAUUUUAUUUUAUUUUAUUUUUUCUUAGAGAAACAAUAGUUGCCCCCUCUCCCGAGUCUGGAAUGCUUUACGCCCAGGGUCUGGGACCCCUCAUUUAAAUUGGCUGCGAAGGGACAGGCGCUGUGAGCCCGGGGAGGAGGUUGUUAGGGAUGGAAAGCCCGGGCCUAGGAAUUUACAAUCCGUUACUUGAGAGGUGUCCUACCUCCCCCUCACCCCAUCCAGGCCUUCGCAGGCCCAGCAUGUGCCGUAAAGAUGUCACACUGGGUGGGGUGCCGAGGAGGGAUCCAGGGCCUGGCCUCCGGGGGUGGGGAGGGGUGUACACAGCCUGAGACAGAAUCCUGGCUGCACCGUGUUCGGCAAGAUGAGCCCAGACAAGGGCUUCCCUCUCUGAGCCUCGGUGGCCUCCAUAAACCAGGACACAGAGAGCGCUGGGUAAGCGGGAGCAUUGUUUUUAUCACGCACCUCUCCACGCCAGCAAUGCCAGCUGUGAGUCCAGCGAUGCCCUGAUGUGAUGAGGUCCACAGACCCAUGGGGCACCUUGCAACAGGGACUUGGUCAGAGUUGUGCACUUCCCACUGCCAGCCUGUGCCAGGCACAGUGCCAGGAACCCUGCUCACAUACCAAGCAAGCAGCUCUUUUUGUCCUUUGCCAAAUCACACACCAACCUCUCUUAUUUGGGGAUCUGACACUUUGUAGCUGCGAGGCUUGGCACAAGGCACAUCGCCUCUCUGAGCCUCAGUUUACUCAUCUGUGAAAUGGGUGGUCGUUUCCCCUGCCUUACAGGGUUGGGAGGAAAUGAGAGAGAAUGCAUGAGCUCAGCCCAGGGCCAGGCACGCAGCAGGUGCUCAGUACACAGUGCUCUUGGCGCUGGGGCAGGGGGAGAGCCUGACCCUGUGGGGGCACCUCCCAAGGGUUUGAAAGGCAUUUGAGGGGACCUGGGAGAGUGAGUGGGACCACCAGCAGAAGAAGGGGGAGGGUGCGGCAUGCUGGUGGCCAGGCACUGUGGGCACCUAACACACCCAGCUCCCCUAAACAGCUCACCACCAGACAGGAGGGUCAGAUCGAGAGCCAAAUAGGAACCUGAUGGUGAGUCAAACGUGGGUGCAGGUGGCGAGGG